UUGAGCAUUCGAAUAAGGGAGGAAGAGAACCUAACCAGGAUUCCUCAGUAACGGCGAGCGAAGUGGGAAGAGCUCGAGCCUGAAAUCCCCGGCGCCUUUGCGCCGGAGAAUUGUGGCCGGAAGAGGCAGCCGUGCCCGGGCUGGCGCUGUCGAAGUUGACCUGGAAAGGCACGUCAGAGAGGGUGAGAGCCCCGUGUGCGACACCGCCGGGCCGGGCCGCUACUGUCUUCGGAGAGUCGGGUUGUUCGGGAAUGCAGCCCAAAGUGGGUGGUAAACUCCAUCUAAAGCUAAAUACUGGCACGAGACCGAUAGCGAACAAGUACCGUGAGGGAAAGGUGAAAAGUACUUUGAAAAGAGAGUCAAAAAGACCGCAAAACCGUUGGGAGGGAAACGAAUGCGGCUGAAGUGGCUCCCCGUCAGGCUCAGGAGACGUCGGCGUGGUCUCGCCGUCGCGCGGUUGCUUCUGCGCGGCGGUUGGGCGCUCGCCGACCGAUCUGCACUUCUGCGGGCGAGCCGGCCAACGGCAGUUGCUCCCGGCCCAUGAGGGCGCCGUGGGAAGGUGGCCCCGCGUUCGCGCGGGGAACUUACAGCCCGGCGUCUGGCGUACCGGGACGCGACUGAGGAGAGCUUGCGAGUUUUUUUCGCACGAGCAGCGCAKGCCGCCGGCCUUCGGGCCGGUGGCUGGACCGCUUCAUUCCGGCGUGCGGCCGCGGGGGUCACUGCUCGCAGUGCCCUGUCGACGGUUCCGCGUGCCGGGGUGGAGGCCGCGUCGCACCUUGCGC
rnacentral:rRNA from 1 species